AGACCCGAAACCCGGUGAUCUAGCCAUGGGCAGGUUGAAGGUUGGGUAACACUAACUGGAGGACCGAACCGACUAAUGUUGAAAAAUUAGCGGAUGACCUGUGGCUGGGGGUGAAAGGCCAAUCAAACCGGGAGAUAGCUGGUUCUCCCCGAAAGCUAUUUAGGUAGCGCCUCGUGAAUUCAUCUCCGGGGGUAGAGCACUGUUUCGGCUAGGGGGCCAUCCCGGCUUACCAACCCGAUGCAAACUGCGAAUACCGGAGAAUGUUAUCACGGGAGACACACGGCGGGUGCUAACGUCCGUCGUGAAGAGGGAAACAACCCAGACCGCCAGCUAAGGUCCCAAAGUCAUGGUUAAGUGGGAAACGAUGUGGGAAGGCCCAGACAGCCAGGAUGUUGGCUUAGAAGCAGCCAUCAUUUAAAGAAAGCGUAAUAGCUCACUGGUCGAGUCGGCCUGCGCGGAAGAUGUAACGGGGCUAAACCAUGCACCGAAGCUGCGGCAGCGAACGUAUCACUUAAAGCGAUUCAGCGGGUUACGAUUGACGGAGCGAAGCGACGUCAAAGCGUAUACAAAGUCGAGUCGGUUUAAGGAUACGUUCGUUGGGUAGGGGAGCGUUCUGUAAGCCUGUGAAGGUGGCCUGUGAGGGUUGCUGGAGGUAUCAGAAGUGCGAAUGCUGACAUAAGUAACGAUAAAGCGGGUGAAAAGCCCGCUCGCCGGAAGACCAAGGGUUCCUGUCCAACGUUAAUCGGGGCAGGGUGAGUCGACCCCUAAGGCGAGGCCGAAAGGCGUAGUCGAUGGGAAACGGGUUAAUAUUCCCGUACUUGGUGUUACUGCGAAGGGGGGACGGAGAAGGCUAUGUUGGCCGGGCGACGGUUGUCCCGGUUUAAGCGUGUAGGUGUGUGUUCCAGGUAAAUCCGGUUCACUUUAACACUGAGGCGUGAUGACGAGGCACUACGGUGCUGAAGUAACAAAUGCCCUGCUUCCAGGAAAAGCCUCUAAGCAUCAGGUAACAUCAAAUCGUACCCCAAACCGACACAGGUGGUCAGGUAGAGAAUACCAAGGCGCUUGAGAGAACUCGGGUGAAGGAACUAGGCAAAAUGGUGCCGUAACUUCGGGAGAAGGCACGCUGACACGUAGGUGAAGUGAUUUACUCA
rnacentral:rRNA from 1 species